AGUGAAUAGAUACCCCGGUAGUCCCAGCCGUAAACGAUGCUCGCUAGGUGUCAGGCAUGGCGCGACCGUGUCUGGUGCCGCAGGGAAGCCGUGAAGCGAGCCACCUGGGAAGUACGGCCGCAAGGCUGAAACUUAAAGGAAUUGGCGGGGGAGCACAACAACGGGUGGAGCCUGCGGUUUAAUUGGACUCAACGCCGGACAACUCACCGGGGGCGACAGCAAUAUGUAGGCCAAGCUGAAGACUUUGCCUGAAUCGCUGAGAGGAGGUGCAUGGCCGUCGCCAGUUCGUACUGUGAAGCAUCCUGUUAAGUCAGGCAACGAGCGAGACCCGUGCCCACUGUUACCAGCAUGUCCUUUGGGAUGAUGGGUACUCUGUGGGGACCGCCGGUGUCAAAUCGGAGGAAGGUGCGGGCCACGGUAGGUCAGUAUGCCCCGAAUCUCCCGGGCUACACGCGGGCUACAAUGAAUGGGACAAUGGGUCCCUUCCCUGAAAAGGGUUGGUAAUCUCACAAACCCAUCCUUAGUUCGGAUUGAGGGCUGUAAC
rnacentral:rRNA from 1 species